AAGAAAGAAUAGACUAUUAGCACUGGGACAGCACAAGCACAUCCUUGAAAGAUGUGCUUGUGCUGUCACAGUGUUAUUUGUUUAUUCUUUCUU
rnacentral:pre_miRNA from 1 species